rnacentral:lncRNA from 1 species
UUUCUAUAUGAGAAUGAGCCACUGCGCAAUGCACGUGACGCGGGGUAAAACAGUCUAGGCAUACUUGUUGUGGGAGAGGAAGAGGAUGCAGCAAAAAAGAGUGAUACUCUAGGCCUUAUAAAGUGAGUUUCUGAAACAUGGAGUCUUUCUUUGCUGAUGUAAAGAAGGAACAGAAUUAAAGAGUACAAGAAGGAAAAACCCGACAGGCAAAUUGUCUGUAUGGUCCUCAUUUAAGCACAUCGUGGAUAUAGAGGGAUAAAAGGUUGAAAAUGGGAUCUGGACUUCUUUCUUUUGACGAAAGACCUAGGACUAUGCCUCAGCACUACCUGGCCUGAUGACUCCUUGCUGUCCCCAGUCCAACUGGUCGUGCUGCUGCUCCAGUUUCAACUGUUCUGCCUGCAGCUAUGGAACCCUGACCUGUUCACCAGACGUGCUACCUUGUCCCAGACCUGCUGGUUUCAACCCUCUAGAGACAGCAGGAGCGGUAGAGUCUGUUAUUUCUGCCUGUUUGGCCCUGUCCAGUAAGCCAGUGACUCAGCCCCUGUAAUAGGGUUUGAGGCAGAGAAUCCCAGUGGAGAGAGGGGAACCGGCCAGGCAGAGACAGCAAGGGCGGUUCGUUGCUCCAGGGCCUUUCCAUUCACCUUCACACUCCUGGGCCAGACUACACUCAAUCAUCGGACCUACUGAAGAGAUGAGUCUUCAAUAAAGACCGAAAGGUUGAGACCGAGUCUGCGUCUCUCACAUGGAUAGGCAGACCAUUCCAUCAAAUUUGAGCUCUAUAGGAGAAAGCGUUGCCUCCAGCUGUUUGCUUAGAAAUUCUAGGGACAGUAAGGAGGCCUGCGUCUUGUGACCUUAGCGUACGUGUAGGUAUGUACAGCAGGGCCAAAUCGGAAAUAUAGGUAGGAGCAAGCCCAUGUAAUGCUUUGUAGGUUAGCAGUAAAACCUUAAAAUCAGCCUUUGCUUUAACAGGAACCCAGUGCAGAGAGGCUAGCACUGGAGUAAAAUGAUCACAUUUGUUGGGUUCUAGUCAAGAUUCUAGCAGCUGUGUUUAGUACUAACUGAAGUUUAUUUAGUGCUUUAUCAGGGUAGCCGGAAAGUAGAGCAUCGCAGUAGUCAAACUUAGAAGUGACAAAAGCAUGGAUUAAUUUUUCUGCAUCAUUUUUGGACAGAAAGUUUCAGAUUUUUGUAAUAUUACAUAGAUGGAAAAAAAAAGCUGUCCGUGAAAGAGUCUUGAUAUGUUCGUCAAAAUAGAGAUCAGGGUCUAGAGUAAUGCCUAGGUCCUUCACAGUUUUAUUUGAGACGACUGUACAACCAUCAAGAUUAAUUGUCAGAUUCGACAGAAGAUCUUUGUUUCUUGGGACCUAGAACUAGCAUCUCUGUUUUGUCCGAGUUUAAAAGUAGAACAUUUGCCGCCAUCCUCUUCCUUAUGUCUGAAACGCAGGCUUCCAGAGAGGUCAAUUUUGGGGCUUCACAAUGUUUCAUUGAAAUGUACAGCUGUGUGUCAUCCGCAUAGCAGCGAAAGUUAACAUUAUGUUUCUGAAUGACAUCACCAAGAGGUAAAAUAUAUAGUGAAAACAAUAGUGGUCCUAAAACGGAGCCUUGAGGAACACUAAAAUUUACAGUUGAUUUGUCAGAGGACAAACCAUCUACAAAGACAUACUGAUAUCUUUCUGACAGAUAAGAUCUAAACCAGGCCAGAACUUGUCCGGGUAGACCAAUUUGGGUUUCCAAUUUCUCCAAAAGAAUGUGGUGAUCGAUGGUAUCAAAAGCAGCACUAAGGUCUAGGAGCACGAGGAGAGAUGCAGAGCCUCGGUCUGACGCCAUUAAAAGGUAAUUUACCACCUUCACAAGUGCAGUCUCAGUGCCAUGAUGGGGUCUAAAACCAGACUGAAGCGUUUUGUAUACAUUGUUUGUCUUCAGGAAGGCAGUGAGUUGCUGCGCAACAGCUUUUUCAUUUUUUUUUAAAGAGGAAUGGGAGAUUCGAUAUAGGC